CGGGGCGUGGCCCAGCCCGGUUAAGGCGCCUGGUUUGGGACCAGGAGAUCGCAGGUUCGAAUCCUGCCGCCCCGACUA
rnacentral:tRNA from 2 species